AGCAGAACUCGAACUUGUGAACACUGAAAUCCCUAGUUCCUCUUCACUUUCCUUCGUCGUCGCAACUCGCAACCCACUCGUUCUCUGUAGAAUCGUUUACAAUGGAAACCAAUUGGGACUUUUGCCAUUGUUCAUCCAUCCAUUCCACAGGAAGUGAUUACGGCGAAGGAUUAGGCUGGCGGCGCAGGUGGAUGUGUGCUCAAUCGAUAGUCACCGCCGCGGUUCCUCUGUAAACGAGUAGAGUCCAAGGUUUCUAUCGAUAGCGCGUGUGGUUCAUCAAAUUCCUGGCUGCUCUGAAGGUUGCAAGAGGGGAUGCCCCGUCUUCGCAAUGUGGAUCAGAAGCUCAGACAACAAAAGGCCCUUUAGCAACUUGGUGUCAUGGACAAGGUUGGAAGCCUAUUCAGGUAAGAAUUUCAUUUUGCUUUUCAGUUUUAAGUUCCGUGGACUGAAUGCUACACAUGUCUUAAUUCAGUUUAUAUGUUCAGGACUGGAUGUGUAUCUUCUUCUGUUUCUCUAUCAUCUGCUACUUGUAAUUGUCGUUAUGAGUUUCAGAUUUCAAAAUAACUUGGGUGUAAAAAAAUCCACUGGCUUAUGACAUUACUGCUGCUUGUAGUGGAUUAAGAGGAUAAAGGAAA